rnacentral:rRNA from 1 species
GAGACUCUGUGCGCGUGCAUAUCAAUAAGCGGAGGAAAAGAAACUAACAAGGAUUCCCUUAGUAACGGCGAGUGAAGCGGGAAGAGCUCAAAUCUGAAAUCUUCAAGGUUCUACCUUGACGAAUUGUAGUUUAAAGAAGUGUUUUCUGUUAGUGGAGUGGCAAAAGUUCUCUGGAAUAGGACAUCAAAGAGGGUGAGAAUCCCGUAUUUGGUCAUUCCUUCUAGCUUUGUGAUACACUUUCAAAGAGUCGGAUUGUUUGGGAAUGCAGUCCAAAAUGGGUGGUAAAUUUCAUCUAAAGCUAAAUAUUGGCGAGAGACCGAUAGCGAACAAGUACCGUGAGGGAAAGAUGAAAAGAACUUUGAAAAGAGAGUUAAACAGUACGUGAAAUUGUCAAAAGGGAAGCGUUUGACACCAGUGUUGUUUAGUUGAAAAUCAAUUCAAUAGUUUUUGAUUCUAAGUAGUAUUGACUUCAUCAGCUUGCUACUUUCUUCUCAGGAAUUAUUGAAUGCACUUUUCAGUUAACAAGUCAACAUCAAUUUCUUUUGUUGUAAAAGGGUAAGAGGAAGGUGGCUUGCGCUUCGGCUCAAGUGUUUAUAGCCUUUUAUCUCUGCAAUCGGAGAGAUUGAGGUCUGCAGCGUAGAUCCUUCGGGGUUAGAUACAUUGGUGCUAAGCUAUAGCCUUGUAUAGACAACUUGUUGACUAUGCUCAGUCAUGUAGCUUACUCGCUGAUGCUAUUGUACCUACGCUUAGGAUGUUGAAGAUGUAGCACAUCAU